AAACGGGAAGCUUUCAGAGAGUCACUAGUGUUCAUAGGCGGGCCCAGUAGCAGGGACCAAUUCGACCCCUCUCUCUCUCGUGUGUGUUUUCCUGAUUUCCUCUAGUCCGUCGGGGAAUCCUGAACUCUCGCACGUCCAGGAUAGGGGAAGCGGCGGCGCCGCCUGUGCAACGGCGUAGCUCUCCUCUGUCCCGCCGCGCUCUCCUAGCCGCCUUGCCGUCGCAGUAUUUGCGCUCCAUCGCUCCCCACCCAGCCCAAGGGGGUGGGGGACAUGUCGGCUUCGGAUCUUCCUGACGAGCUUUGGGCGCGCGUCCUGGAGCUGGGCGUCGUGUCGUCGGCGCUGGGGUUCCGCGACCUCUGCUGCCUCGCCAUCGCCUCCCGCCGCCUCGGACGCCUCUCGCUUCACCCCGCCCUCUGGUCGGCGCUCCUCUCCCGCGACUUCCCCUCCCAAUCCCAACCCUCCUCCUCGUCCUCCACCUCCCAGCAGCACCCCAAAUCCAUCUACAAAACCAAGUUCGAGAGGCACAAGGUGCGGAUCGCGGAGGCCAGGCGGCGGGCUGUGUUCGAGGCGGAGGCGCGGGUGCUUGCGUCAAGGAGGCGGCUGGCGGAGCUGGAGGAGUCGAUGCGGGCAGAGGGUGAGGGGAUGAAAGCCGCCGCGCAGGAGCUGGACAACCUUGAGAGGGUCAGGAGAGCUUCUGUGGCAUUAAAUGUAUGGCAACCACAAGUUGUUCAUGGUCGCCAGAAGCAGUUGGUUCAGCAGUGCACAGUUUCUGUCGAUUCUCGUGUUAGUGAUCUUAACAUGGAGCUGAAAGUCUAACAAGGAGAAGCACAAGCUGAAUGAGUAUGAGGAAGCAUUGAAACGAGCAAAAUAUCAUCCGCUGCAGGAUAGCCAUACAAGCGGAGUUAUCAAUGAGCCACGUGCAAAGAGGAAGAAACUGAAGUGAACCUACUGUUUGCUUUCAGGUCCUCCACUGUCUCAAGAUAGCAACACCUGUACGGCACCAAGGGGCAAGGGCUAAUGCAUUAUGCAUCCAUCUAGGGGGAAGGUGCGGAUGUCUCGCAGAUUGGACAUCACAUCAAGGCUUCUUCAUGCGCUCAGUUUCCUGCCCAUGUGCAAUUGUGGAUGCUGUAGGCUAUGGCCGUGGCAUUCUUCUUUGCCACUUUGCCUGGCACGAAGAUGCUACAUGACAGGAAGCACCUCCGGUGUUUCCAUGUUGCUGAAAGAAUCUCGUUCGCGCAUGUUGUUCACCGUCGGCCGACGGCCGGCUAGAUGAUUCUGUUGCAGAAAGAGGCCGACUAUUCUAUCACAGAAUAGUCUGGCGUUGAUGCUUAUCCCUUCACAAAGCUGUGGGCUGAAGCUUGCCACAUUUGACUUUGAAAACUGUAACCUGUACGCAACUAUGCAUCUUGUAUGUUGUAUACCAUCCCAUCCAUACGUGACACGUAGACACCUUCUCUAUUUUCCAUUCCAUGAGAAUCCAAAAGAAACCUAUCAAUAUCUCUCGCUUUA